GCUUUCUCUGUUAGUCUAACUUCAGUCUUCUCCCUUACCUAGCCUCUGCAGGAAAGGCUGAAGUGGUGUGUGCCAUGCCUGUUGCUCAUUGGAAUCACAAGGGGAGAUCCAACAGUUCCGAAGCCAUGGCUCAGAUGAGUCAGUAUUUUGAGCAUACAAGAUGGGUAGGAGUCAUGGAUCCAAGAAAAGACAAGGAAGCAGAAACAAAGGAGUGGACGCUUCUGUCUGCAAUGUGAUGCUUUCAGUGUUAGGUGGGUGCUUUCUAAGAUCUAUGAAAGUUCCCACUCUGGGAAUUGUUCUAUAACCAAGGUCUCCCGCUGUGCUAUCAGGAUCCCUUGUACGUGGAAUCAUAGUUCUUGCAUAUCACGAGACUAUCCUGGUGAGAAAGAGACUUGGGCUGGUUCAUUUUUU
ensembl:lncRNA